GCCGGGGUGGCGGAAUUGGCAGACGCACGGGACUUAAAAUCCCGCGGUUGGUUUCAACCGUACGAGUUCGACUCUCGUCCUCGGCACUA
rnacentral:tRNA from 2 species